rnacentral:lncRNA from 1 species
GAGUCGGUUCUUGUCCCCAAAGAUGUGGGGCUCCCUUGCGGUUCCCAUGGCUGCUGGACAAAGCGCCUUAAGGUUGCUUUUAGUCAUCAGGCUGCCAGACCCCGGGCCACAUCUGAGAAGUAUCAUCCAGCGGCCUUCCAGAAACAACAGGUCAAAGGGAGCCAGACCUCACCUACACGGACUGCUCAUGCGCCAAGUCUGCGCAGGCGCCCUGCUGAGCCUGGGGCUCCAGGAAUACCGGGGUACGCCGCUUCCAGCACUGCGCUUGCUCCGACUCGCUUCUUCCCUUCCCCCCCGCCACCCUCCCCGCGGGAGGACCACGCCCCAAAAGCGAAGCCACUUCCUUUGGCAGUCAGCUUCGCUGCGCCUGCGCCUGGGCUCCACAGUGCGCAGCUCUGGGUCCCGGCCCCACUCCGUCGCCCUCCCCGCGGCUCCCUGACGCCGGCGUGACGUCACCACGCCGGGCGGCCGC